rnacentral:rRNA from 1 species
GUGGGGAAUUUUGGACAAUGGGGGCAACCCUGAUCCAGCCAUCCCGCGUGUGCGAUGAAGGCCUUCGGGUUGUAAAGCACUUUUGGCAGGGAAGAAAAGUUUCGGGCUAAUACCCUGGAGCGAUGACGGUACCUGCAGAAUAAGCACCGGCUAACUACGUGCCAGCAGCCGCGGUAAUACGUAGGGUGCAAGCGUUAAUCGGAAUUACUGGGCGUAAAGCGUGCGCAGGCGGUUCGGAAAGAAAGAUGUGAAAUCCCAGGGCUUAACCUUGGAACUGCAUUUUUAACUGUCGAACUCGAGUAUGUCAGAGGGGGGUAGAAUUCCACGUGUAGCAGUGAAAUGCGUAGAGAUGUGGAGGAAUGCCGAUGGCGAAGGCAGCCCCCUGGGAUAAUACUGACGCUCAUGCACGAAAGCGUGGGGAGCAAACAGGAUUAGAAACCCUUGUAGUCC